GUUUUGAUGAGUGUUGGACAUAAUUUUCAAUUGCAUUGUUGUCAUAGUGGUUAUAGCAACAAUAGAGCCCUGAGUACCAGGCCAUUAGCAAUCUGAUGGUCGUUGCGAGUUGGGUACUACCAAUGCAUGUCUAGAGUGAUCAAUGGUCACAUACAUAUUGCGACGGAUCAGCUAGUCCAAAACACCCUAACACAGGCGGGAAAUGAACAGACUGGAGGCAGUGGUUGUGGUUCCUUUUCUUUUGUAAUGUCACUAAACAGGUUCUUUCGCCCGACAAAAUAAUUCUAGUGAAAGGUAACGUCCAAUGCUGAAACAGCAUAAAGAGAAUAUACAAACUAAUCAGCUGACCAAAAGGCCACGGCCAAAAAGGGAACACAAAACAAACAGCUCCCAUUGUCUUUAGACUAUCGUCUACACAUCACAUUUCCAGGGGGAACGCUUCCCUCUAUCUAUAGACUGCCUUGUUUAACAUAGAGCCAAAGUGCAUCGGAUGACGCCGCUUUCUCUAAGGUAGGAACGUCCCCAUGUCUGCUCCCAUUCUACAUCAAGCUCAUCUCCUGGCACACCUAUAUAGAGGGAGACACCAAGCCAAUUAGUGGGCCCAGUUGUGUACUAAUUGGUUUUACACUGAGUACCUAUCUCCUGAGGAGAGGGCUGUCGGGUCACUGAACCCUCACAGUAUGUAUAGAAUAGGGCUGUAACCAACUAAAAAAAAUCUUGGUCGACCAAGAGUCGUCUGUUCUUUUGACCAAUUGAUUGGUCGACAUUUAUACAUGUGUAUUUUUCCACAUAUAGACACAUCCUAUGUGUUUUAAUCAAAUCAACUAUAAUCACUGAGCAUGUCUGAUGCUUUAAGCACACUGUUUGAUUAAAUAAUUAAGACACACAAAUUACUAGAGGGAGUCCGAUUAGCAAUUGAUUUGAUUGUGCUGCUGUGUUAAAAAAAGACAGUGAGUGACUGUGUGACUAGCACCCGCUGUCUCUCUCUCCUCCCUGCUGCAGCGACCACCACAGAACAUCAAAGUGUUUAUCGCGCUGUCCGUGUUGCUGAAGCUUCAACAUAAUUACAGCCAUUUCUGAUAAAGAGUUCUGUUACUGAAAUCCCUUAUUUGUUUAGGAAAAACAUUCCCUAUUCCCUCAAUCCUUGCUUUCUUUACGUGACACAUGUAUGCAUCGCAUGCACGUGACCAAUAGGGCCUGACCUAUAACAUAAGGCAAUCACAUCAAUAAAUUGGUUAUUGAAAUAUAGGCCUAAGUAAGUUAGGGUAUUAAGACUAAACAGGAUGUGCUCUUAGGCCUAAAGCUCAAUGGUGGUUAUAUAAGGCUGCUAUAAGCCUACUAAUGGUAAUGACAUUUCUUAUUAUUAUACUAAUAAUAAUAACAAGAAGGAGAUCAAGAAAAAGGAGCCUUAUUAUUAUAAAUAUAUUCAUUCUGACAAUUUGGAACAGUGUAAACAACGCUAAUAUCAGAGACGCUAUUCUAACGGAAAAAACUGUAAAGCCUUUAUUACAGCAAAGAUUUAAAACAGACAUUUGUGAAAUUGUUUGCUGAGGCAUGACGUGGGACCCUGCUAAGCCAAUCGAGGCAAGGAAACCUCUCGAGCCAGCUAAGGCGUGGAAGCCCGACGAUCCAGCUGAGGCACCCCCGGUUCCAUCGGCAGCGGCACCCGGACCCGACAUCACCAACAAAAACAAAAACUCCCAAUUGCUUCAAAUUGUGGUGUCAGCAUUCUGUAAGGACAGAAGCUUGGAGAUGAGAAGCAAGUACAGGGAUUGAACAUUUAAUUAAUAAGCAGACAUGAAACAAGACAAGACAGCAUCUGUACAUGAAAAACAUAACGACAUUAAUGCUGACACAGGGAACAAACUGAGGAACAGACAGAUAUAGAGGGGGAAAUCAACAAUGUGAAGGAGUCCAGUUCCUUUUGUUCGUAAAGCCUACCAGUGGUUUUCCCCUUGAUCUUCUCUGAGGUUAGUUCCUGUUUUCUAAUUUUGCCGGUUUUGACCAUUCAGCCUGACCUGAGCCUACCUGCCGUUUCUGUACCUUGUCACACCACCCUGGAUUUAUGACUGCUGCCUGCCCUGACCCCGAGACUGCCUGCCAUUCUGUACCUUUUGGACUCUGAUCUGGAUUACUGACCUCUGCCUGCCCUUGACCUGUCAUUUUGCCUGCCCCCUG
rnacentral:lncRNA from 1 species